ensembl:lncRNA uncharacterized LOC114474024
AAAUAAUCUUGAUUUUACUCUAAACAUUGCUAAAACGAAUCGUUACACCUCUAAUAAUAUUGCAUUCCGAUGUCAUGUGAUUUUUAACAAUAUGUUGUUACUCUAUGUAGCACUGGGCAGAGGGUCCCGGUGUUCUGGUCUUCCUGAGCCAACAUCUGUUCUGACUGGAAAACCCUGCAAGUUGGUCAUCCCAGAUGUUUCUCCCACCCAGAAGGUGGUGGUAACACUGGCCACGGCAGCGUUUCCACAACAAGCACCUGUAGUGGGAGAUAGUCCUGGGGCCAAUGGCACAUGUGAUGUCCAUAACAGUUCACACGAUGCGAUGAAUCCUCCACUAACAUUCAAUCCAAUUUGUAAUGACGCUGCGAAGCUUUUAUGUAAAAACUUGGGUAUAGCUUUUCAAAAAACAGAGCAUCCCACGUCUACAGACAUCGGUUUGUUGGGACCACCGUGUAGCAACUACAAAAACGAUGCUGACGCGAACAGUUUUUUUCGUGCAUUGUGCCACACUUUAAGUGGGACGCAAAACAAGCACAGAAGAAUCCGCUUGGCUGUAGUCAAGCACUUAAAAGAAAACGCAGAGAUUUACGAAAACAUUUUGAGGCAAGAAUAUUCUUCAGUGGACCAGUACGUUAAAAGCUCCAAAAUGAAUAAUGUCGGCAUUUUGGCAACAGAGGUGGAGAUUCAAGCAGCAGCUGAUCAUUUUGGAGUACAUGUUUAUAUAUACUCAAAUAAUGGUUGGCUUGUAUACAAAUGCAAUAAUAACCAUGUGUCACAGGGGGUGUAUUUAGAAAUGUGUCAUGGCCGUCAUUAUGAGUCUGUAGUUUGUACUCAGAGUCCUAAUUUGGAUGGUUGUUGUCAUUAUUGUGAAGCGGCUGAAAGUUCUUCAGCUGGGUACAGUCUUAGACGACUGCAAACAACUGCUGAUGAUGAUGAUGAUAUUAAUUUUGAUGAGGAAACAUGUGACAUGGAAAAGCAGCUGUCCAAUGAGUCGCCCAACCUUCAAAGUGAUGGUAGCACGUCAUACAAUUUCAGAGAUAGGUCACAGGUCAAGUCAAAGCAACAACAGUCUAACACUAACCAAGGGAGCCCAAGCAUUUUAAAGCAUUUGAGACAGAGAAGGGCCGCACACUUUCGAAACCUGUAUCGCACAAAUGAAUCAUUUCGGCAGAAAGUGAAAGAACGGCACAGAAAAAAAUAUAGGGAUGAUGAAGCUUAUAGAACAAAACUAAAAGAAAAGAGUAAACUUAGGUAUUGUAAGCAGAAAGAGAAUGCACAGGUGCUAAACAUGUAUCGCACAAAUGAAUCAUAUCGGCAGAAAGUGAAAGAACGGCAAAGAAAAAAAUAUAGGGAUGAUGAAGAUUUUAGAACAAAACAAAAAGAAAAGAGUAAACUUAGGUAUUGGACACAGAAAUGUGAAAAAAACCUGGAAGAAUUACAAAUAUAACACCUGAGCAAACAUGAAGAGCAAAGC